AUAUUAUCACUAUCGGACAGACUUUGUGUGAAGGAACGGAGAUGCAACUAAUUGGAAUUUUAUUUUUAUUGCCUGUGGUCUUAACCUUACCUUAUACUAAAGUUCAGAUUGUAUCAUACGAUGAUCCUCUUGUUGACAUUGCUGACGAAAAAAUUAGAUUCCUAGAACUAAAAUCUGAUAAUGACCAAGAAACAGAAAAUGUCCCUAUCUCGGCUAUCCCAUCAGCACCUGUGUUGCCACCUCUGAAUAAUCAUGUGCUUAUACAUUAUGUUCUGGAUGAAAGUGACAAAAGUACAGAGAACAAAACUCAGCAGCCAAGUGAAAAUUCUAAGGAUACUGCCGAAAACCAAGAUAAAAAUGCUCCUGUAGU